ACAUUGCGCAGUUGCCGCCGGCUGCGGAGAUUGUUCGCACCAUGGAUGACAUCUCCAACACCGUUUGCUCAGUCAUUGAUUCGGCGGAGCUGUGCAGGAACACACACCCAGAUAGGGAGUUUGCGGAGGAAGCAGAUAA